rnacentral:rRNA from 1 species
UACGUAGGCAGCAAGCGUUGUUCGGAGUUACUGGGCGUAAAGCGCGCGCAGGCGGCACUCUAAGUACGCUGUGAAAUAUCCCGGCUCAACCGGGAGGGUGCAGUGUAGACUAGGGAGCUAGAGGUCGGGUAGAGGGGGGUGGAAUUGCUGGUGUAGCGGUGAAAUGCGUAGAUAUCGAGAGGAACACCAGUGGCGAAGGCGAGUCCCUGGACAACACCUGACACUGAGGCACGAAAGCUAGGGGAGCAAACAGG